GAUGAACGCUGGCGGCGUGCCUAAUACAUGCAAGUCGAGCGAACAGACGAGGAGCUUGCUCCUCUGACGUUAGCGGCGGACGGGUGAGUAACACGUGGAUAACCUACCUAUAAGACUGGGAUAACUUCGGGAAACCGGAGCUAAUACCGGAUAAUAUACUGAACCGCAUGGUUCAAUAGUGAAAGACGGUUUUGCUGUCACUUAUAGAUGGAUCCGCGCCGCAUUAGCUAGUUGGUAAGGUAACGGCUUACCAAGGCAACGAUGCGUAGCCGACCUGAGAGGGUGAUCGGCCACACUGGAACUGGAACACGGUCCAGACUCCUACGGGAGGCAGCAGUAGGGAAUCUUCCGCAAUGGGCGAAAGCCUGACGGAGCAACGCCGCGUGAGUGAUGAAGGUCUUCGGAUCGUAAAACUCUGUUAUUAGGGAAGAACAAAUGUGUAAGUAACUAUGCACGUCUUGACGGUACCUAAUCAGAAAGCCACGGCUAACUACGUG
rnacentral:rRNA from 1 species